rnacentral:tRNA from 1 species
GCCCGGGUGGUGGAAUUGGUAGACACGCAGGACUUAAAAUCCUGUAGCCAUUGCGGCUGUGCGGGUUCAAUUCCCGCCCCGGGUA